GUACAACUUCGGUCAUACAUAUUCUAAAACUGGAACGAUACAGAAAAUAUUAGCAUGGUCCCUGAGCGAGGAUCACAUGCAAAAACAAAAGAGAAAAAAAAGCGGU
rnacentral:snRNA from 1 species